UUUUUUUUUUUGGUACCGGGGAUCGAACUUGGGUCCUUGCGCUUGCGCAGCAGGCAGCAAAACCACUGAGCUAAAUUCCCGGCCCAAAGGGGGGGUUUUAAUGGAUUCAGCAUCCUGGAUUGGAUAUGAGCUGCUAUUUGGUUAGGAGGCCCCUGACCACUGGCUUCUCUGCCUCAGGUGGAGACAGAUUACUGUCUGCUGCUGGCUCUGCCAUGUGGUCGUGACCAAGACGACGUGGUAAGCCAGACAGAGUCUCUUAAGGCUGCCUUCAUCACUUACCUGCAGGCCAAGCAGGCGGCAGGGAUCAUCAACGUUCCGAACCCUGGCUCCAAUCAGCCCGCCUAUGUGCUGCAGAUCUUCCCGCCUUGUGAGUUCUCUGAGAGUCACCUUUCCCGCCUGGCCCCUGACCUCCUUGCCAGUGUCUCCAACAUCUCUCCCCACCUUAUGAUUGUCAUUGCCUCUGUGUGAGCCACGGGACCGAUCACCACCUCAGGAGUAAUUUCCCGAGGUUCUGCCGCAAAAAUGAACACCAGACUACCCAGUCAGGCAGAGGGAGCACCUGCGGAGGGGACAGACCCCACUGCCAGACACUGGCCUCCUCGACCACCCAGCUCCCAGGGACGGAUCUCCCUGGGUGGUGGUGCUGCUGCCUUGUAUGUUUACACGAUGCUGUCGCCCAUGGGACGUGCCACCAACUGAGGGACUCACAGACACCUUGGGGCUGGGUUUCUUUUUUUUGAGAAAAGGAAUAGGGCAGUGGAAUUUUUUGUUUUCGUUUUUAAGAAACAAAACAGGACUGCCUUUGCACUAAAUUAGUGACUUGGACUUUUGCACAGUGAAGACAGGCUGUGACACUGACAGACGUCUUGGUGUGUAUGAACACGUCACAGACGCUAAUGCAGGACCGGGAACUUCUGCUGAAACCUUGGGGUCAAGGAACAUUUCAUUGGGUUUUUUUGCCCCACCUUCUCUUCUUUGCUCAUUGGACAUCACCUUUAACUCUCCUGCUGCCACCACGUUUGGCUCACCAGGAUGUACAGUUUACAGUGGAACAGGAGCAAACACAGGAUUUCCUUUCUUGGUGGGAUAUGCAGAACUUGGGAUGUGUGUAUAUAUAAAUAUAUAAUAUAUAUAAAUAUAUAUAAUACUGACUUAAAAAUCAAAUUUCCCCAACAUACAUUUUUUUUAAUCUGUGCCAAAAAAUGUGUUUUCAGAGAAAAUCUUAUUUUCAUACUCAGACUUUGUAUUGUCACUCAUUUGUAUAAGUGCGCUUCAUGACAGCACGGGCGCUGCUCCCGCUUCGUGGAAGUGUCACACAGCACCUGUACAGAAAGACUGGCCAACCUUCUUCCUGUGACCCAGACCUCUCCCACUUCCUAACACUUAUUAAUUUAUGAAACUGUUUUCUCAGCGCAGUUUUGUUUUGUGUGUCCAUUGGAUUACAAACUUUAUUAAAAAAUACAAAACACCUCAA
rnacentral:lncRNA from 1 species